rnacentral:rRNA from 1 species
UUGAAGUUCAGGUAACACUGAAUGGAGGACCGAACCGACUUACGUUGAAAAGUGAGCGGAUGAACUGAGGGUAGCGGAGAAAUUCCAAUCGAACCUGGAGAUAGCUGGUUCUCUCCGAAAUAGCUUUAGGGCUAGCCUCAAGUGAUGAUUAUUGGAGGUAGAGCACUGUUUGGACGAGGGGCCCCUCUCGGGUUACCGAAUUCAGACAAACUCCGAAUGCCAAUUAAUUUAACUUGGGAGUCAGAACAUGGGUGAUAAGGUCCGUGUUCGAAAGGGAAACAGCCCAGACCACCAGCUAAGGUCCCAAAAUAUAUGUUAAGUGGAAAAGGAUGUGGCGUUGCCCAGACAACUAGGAUGUUGGCUUAGAAGCAGCCAUCAUUUAAAGAGUGCGUAAUAGCUCACUAGUCGAGUGACACUGCGCCGAAAAUGUACCGGGGCUAAACAUAUUACCGAAGCUGUGGAUUGUCCUUUGGACAAUGGUAGGAGAGCGUUCUAAGGGCGUUGAAGCAUGAUCGUAAGGACAUGUGGAGCGCUUAGAAGUGAGAAUGCCGGUGUGAGUAGCGAAAGACGGGUGAGAAUCCCGUCCACCGAUUGACUAAGGUUUCCAGAGGAAGGCUCGUCCGCUCUGGGUUAGUCGGGUCCUAAGCUGAGGCCGACAGGCGUAGGCGAUGGAUAACAGGUUGAUAUUCCUGUACCACCUAUAAUCGUUUUAAUCGAUGGGGGGACGCAGUAGGAUAGGCGAAGCGUGCGAUUGGAUUGCACGUCUAAGCAGUAAGGCUGAGUAUUAGGCAAAUCCGGUACUCAUUAAGGCUGAGCUGUGAUGGGGAGAAGACAUUGUGUCUUCGAGUCGUUGAUUUCACACUGCCGAGAAAAGCCUCUAGAUAGAAAAUAGGUGCCCGUACCGCAAACCGACACAGGUAGUCAAGAUGAGAAUUCUAAGGUGAGCGAGCGAACUCUCGUUAAGGAACUCGGCAAAAUGACCCCGUAACUUCGGGAGAAGGGGUGCUCUUUAGGGUUAACGCCCAGAAGAGCCGCAGUGAAUAGGCCCAAGCGACUGUUUAUCAAAAACACAGGUCUCUGCUAAACCGUAAGGUGAUGUAUAGGGGCUGACGCCUGCCCGGUGCUGGAAGGUUAAGAGGAGUGGUUAGCUUCUGCGAAGCUACGAAUCGAAGCCCCAGUAAACGGCGGCCGUAACUAUAACGGUCCUAAGGUAGCGAAAUUCCUUGUCGGGUAAGUUCCGACCCGCACGAAAGGCGUAACGAUUUGGGCACUGUCUCAACGAGAGACUCGGUGAAAUCAUAGUACCUGUGAAGAUGCAGGUUACCCGCGACAGGACGGAAAGACCCCGUGGAGCUUUACUGUAGCCUGAUAUUGAAAUUCGGCACAGCUUGUACAGGAUAGGUAGGAGCCUUUGAAACGUGAGCGCUAGCUUACGUGGAGGCGCUGGUGGGAUACUACCCUAGCUGUGUUGGCUUUCUAACCCGCACCACUUAUCGUGGUGGGAGACAGUGUCAGGCGGGCAGUUUGACUGGGGCGGUCGCCUCCUAAAAGGUAACGGAGGCGCUCAAAGGUUCCCUCAGAAUGGUUGGAAAUCAUUCAUAGAGUGUAAAGGCAUAAGGGAGCUUGACUGCGAGACCUACAAGUCGAGCAGGGUCGAAAGACGGACUUAGUGAUCCGGUGGUUCCGCAUGGAAGGGCCAUCGCUCAACGGAUAAAAGCUACCCCGGGGAUAACAGGCUUAUCUCCCCCAAGAGUUCACAUCGACGGGGAGGUUUGGCACCUCGAUGUCGGCUCAUCGCAUCCUGGGGCUGUAGUCGGUCCCAAGGGUUGGGCUGUUCGCCCAUUAAAGCGGUACGCGAGCUGGGUUCAGAACGUCGUGAGACAGUUCGGUCCCUAUCCGUCGUGGGCGUAGGAAAUUUGAGAGGAGCUGUCCUUAGUACGAGAGGACCGGGAUGGACAUACCUCUGGUGUACCAGUUGUCGUGCCAACGGCAUAGCUGGGUAGCUAUGUGUGGACGGGAUAAGUGCUGAAAGCAUCUAAGCAUGAAGCCCCCCUCAAGAUGAGAUUUCCCAACUUCGGUUAUAAGAUCCCUCAAAGAUGAUGAGGUUAAUAGGUUCGAGGUGGAAGCAUGGUGACAUGUGGAGCUGACGAAUACUAA